UGGCACUGUUGUUGCUAUGAAUUCUUAAAUACAUAAAUUAAUUCGCAUUUCGCGGCGAAAUGUUCUAGAGGGUGCGAGUGAUCGACAGGGAAAUACCUCUGGCAGUGGAAAAUAAUCUAUUCAUAAAACAUAGAUUUAACGCGGUGCGGAUGAGGAAAUUGCUCAAUGAGCUUCAUUGUCAAUUAAAUCGAAUAUUUUACUGUGAGCGGACAGAAAGUGCUGAGGAAUUUCGUAAACUACAGUUCCCUCAAUGGAUUUCAUCAUGUAAAAGCAACCGCUUAAAGGAAGGACAAUAAAGGCCAAAACCAAAGGAACAACAACCCACGCUAUGACGUAGCCACAUUUAAGUGGUGUGACAUUUAAUUAGCCUCUUUGAAACGGGGAGGUAGUCGACUUGCAACGGCUGAUGUCACACACACGGAUAUAUAGAUACAUAUAUAUAUAUGAAGCACUCGCAAAGGGCGCGAGUUUCGACAAGGAGAACUAUUAAAAAUUAAUGACAAUGCAAAUAGGCGAACUUAACAAAGGUGGCACAGGAACACGGCCAAGACCCGAAUGCCAAGUAGGCCAAAAAGUUAACACAAGCGAUACAGUACGAAAACCUAACUGGGUUAAGAAGUUCGCACCCAGGCGAUACAGAAGAACUCAGAAUUUGUAAACAGGAAAGAAUACAAUUAAAUGUUGACGCAUCAAAGCAGCUUGUACAAGACAGCCGAAAAUUGGCACGAGUGCACGGCAAAAAAUAGUUAGAUAUAUAGAAUGCUACUGUCGGAUAAAGCGCUUUUCCCUCUACUGAACCCUUUCAUUGUAAUGACAUAUGAAAUCAUUGAUCGAAUGCUUUUCUGUGUACCGAAUUCAGCUAAUAAGCCAUCACCAUCAUCAGCAAAAUAGAAACACGCGGAACGGAGCAGAACAAACCAGACGACAUUCAAUUUAUUGACGGACAAAGUGGCUAUAGCGAAGGCGACAUUCUGGCGACGGACACAUCGGGAUGGAAAAAGCUCGAAAUUGAGGCGAGACAUCCGAAAUGGGGAGCUCGCCGAACGAAACGAAUCAUUAAUCAAAAUGAAGGAGAGUCAAACCUUAAAACCGAUGAAGUGCACACAAAGUGCGAUAAAAACUUUGAACAUUUCAAAACUGGCAAUUAGUCGCAGAGGGAAUUUUGAGAGAUCAGAGGGAAAAAAGAAACCUAUGCAAAUGCUUUUAAUUAAUUAAGUGGCUUUUGUUGAAGCAUAACUAUAUUUCCCUCUUAGGAGAGUCAAAUUCUCCAUCCUGUGGUCAGAACCGCACAAAUAGAUAGAAUGCAUCGAGUUCUGCAUAAUUUAAGGCCACAUUCGCAACCAUGAAUCAGGCAGCCAGCAUCAUUGACUGUAUCCCUUCCCUGUAAUUUGCUCGCAGAAGUACCAGCCAAGUGGAAGUCCCGCCCCCACGCACAUUCAACCGACAAAGUCUGUGGGCUAAUUUGACUGUCGAAAUUUAUGCGUCGUAUCUGCGAGUUCGAGUAUCGCUGGCUCUUUGUAUCUGUAUCUGUGUGCUGUGCUGCGGUGGUCUAUUCACUCUCCUGCCUCGAGUGUAAACAAAAUAAAGUGGCGCAUUUAUGGCGAAGGUGGCUGGCCCGGAGAACGUACAGAACCUAGCGCACGGAGGAGGAUUCCCAGUCCCCGGAGAAUGUGUGCGCGCCUCCCAGUUCUCUAAUUGAGCAAAAACCGUGCUCGGAUUGCCGAUGACGUCGAUGGAGCAGAGGCGAACGGGCCAAAGUCACAAUAAACCGCUUUGAUUUGUGUGGGAAACACAUAUUAGAGGAGCUGCGUGCUAAGCAAACAAACUUGUAGCCAACGAAUGGGUGGCUGAUUGGACGGGGGCACUGGGGAUAUCAUUCACGUUAGGGUGGGUCAAUGGUUGAGAAGUACUUUUGCAAAAAUGCUCUCCAUUCAUUAGAGUGCAACAUAUCGUAAGUUGUUACUUAGAACGAGAACAGCACAGGUAACUUAUUCGUGUCUAAUGAGUAAAAACUUUCUAGAUUGGUUGUACUUGUUGUAAAUAAACAAAUCUUGGGCUGAUAGAUAAACUUCAAUUUACAA